UUUUAAACUAACCCUGCUUAUUCCUGUGAACCAACCAGCAGUCUCCAACUGCAGCUCAGAAGAAACAAAAAGAGAUGGGUAGUAUAAAAAUCUGGAUAAUAUUCUAGUUCUGGGAAAUUAUCCUGCAGUUUCUGCCAGGUGAUGGGGGUAAAUGGGGUGCCCAUAACCUGGAGGUUUCUUUUUUUGGGAAAAUAAGACCAAGGGAGCUCACCAAAGCCAAGCCCCAUGCACCCAAAUCUUAGCAGGUGUAACUAUAGCCACCAGUUAUCUGGGCAUGCUGGUAGCCUUGGAAUUUUUGAGCUCUCCUUACCUUUACCUUUUGUUUUGUUUUGAUACAUGUCUUCUAAUAACCUGGUUUGUCUCUUCCUGCCUUUAGGCCAUUGAACUCCAAACAAUCAUGCAACUAGAGCCUCAAAUGAUGGCCCCCUUUUACCAGAGACCCUUAGAUAGGCCUCUGAGGGAGAUCUGACUGCUGUUAUUUGAAAACAGCACCCCCUGUCAGCAGAAAGCAGUUAAGGUGAAGAGCUAUUUUCCUGAUGUCCUAAGAAUUUUAUUCAAUUAAUGUUAUAGGUGCCACUAGAGGAGCUGGAAGGUGUUCCUGGUCUUUUGCAAAAGAAAGCUUUCUUCUCAAAUCAAUGCAAAAUCUCCUUCUCUUCUAACUAUCCUAGAGCUGUGGGGAGGAGGCAGAGAGUGUGUGGAUUUGAAAGGGCUUCUCGACCUCUAGGUAAAAAGAAAGAGCUUAGAUAUUAACAUUGUAAUUACAUCAAUUAGAUGCUAACUUUAUUUGGUUUUCAAAAAUAAUCAGGCCCCUGCUAAUUGUGUGUAUAGAGAAAGAAAUGAGUCCACAUUCUUUGUAAACACUAAGUACACUUUUUUGUUCUCUAUCAAUGAGCAGCAGGCAGCAUGUGGAUCUCAGAUAUCUGAAGACAGGGCAUAUGAGCUGAUUAAAUGGGCUGGUAGGAAAGGUCUGAAUUCAGAGGUUAGCACUGCCAACCCUCUGUUCCUCCAGUCCACCCCCUGUAACCAGCUCCCACUGGCUUCAUCACGGCUGCCCAAUUUCUUCCUACUCCAGUGUUUCUCAACCCUUUAAAUCAAUGCCAACUUUUCAUAAAUACAAACAUCUUAUUCACACUUUCCCCAGAAAUUCUAACACGUUCCUCAGGAUUAGGGGAGUGGAAACUUCAGUUAGGAAACUCUGUAUUUUCUUUGUAACCCAGCAGCAAAAACAAUGUGGUUGUGUUUUGUUUUCUGAAGUUGCCAUUAUAAAAAUAAUAGUUUUGUUAUGUUUUUAUAAGAUAAAACUAAAUUAUAAAAUUGAACAUGUCUUCUCAAAUUUUUCACUUGCCUCCAACCACCCUCCACUUCCCAUAGAUUCUAGUAUUUCUCUAAGAGCCCAUUCCUCAAGUUAAAAAUUGUUGCUCUAAUUUCUACAUCAUGACCAGGACAUGCUGUAUAAUUUGUGGGGCCUAGUUCAAAAUGAAUAUGCAAGGUCCCUCUUCAAACAUUAUUAAGGAUUUCAAGAUGGCUACAGUAGAGGAUUAAACCAAGGCUGGGACCUUUCUAAGCUUGGAGUCCUGGGUGACUGCACAGAAUACAUGCCACAAAGCUGUCCCUGAUCAUGACUUUUUAGCUUCUGCUAUUCCUGUCAUUGACUUCAUCUGUGUGUUUCCUAAUUCUGAUUCCCAAGAGCAAGAAUCGGAUUGGCUAAGAUAAGCAUUUCAUUCCAGAAGUUUUACUGGUUGCUGGCAGGCAUAUUCAUUGGAGAGGUCCCUUGGUCAGUCAACUAUGUCAGAACCAAACAGUCGUGUGUGAUCAAGGUGGGGGAUUUGAAUGGGAGUAGAGAAUGGGUCUACUACUACAGUACAUGGCCACCAAUGUAGCCAUGAGAGUGGACGGGGCAGUUUUCUUAGGAGUGGACAUGGGUAGACAGGCAAUCACUGACACUGAAUACAAAAUAUAAAUAUACGCAUUUCCAAUUUGAGCCUGAUGUCUGUGUAAAACGGAGUAAUAAUAUUUCAGAGGCUAGUUUAUGGGGGAUAGAUGAGAUAGUGACCUAAACAAAUGGAUGUAAAACCCCAAGAAAUCAUUAUUACCAUUCAACUAAGGGAGUGCAAACAUAGUGGAACCUGAUUUAAUAUCUCAAAUAGUCCAGCACUCAAAAAUAGGCUGGUAACACAUAGGCCAUCAGGGUGUUGUCUUGUGGUGCAUGCAGCAGGAUGACUAUUACUGUGAACUAAGCAACACAGAUGCCAUCUUCUGAAGACAAAUAGACACAAAGGAUUGUGUCUUUGUUCAUAUAUACAAAGAAAAUUGGCACUAGAACUGGAUGAGAGCCAAGGGACAGUCUGUUUGAUAGGCUGUGGCUUGUGAUAGUCCUAAUCUGUUGAUGAAAUAAUGUGUUUCCUUCUGGAAAAAAGGAAUUUUCUAACGUUCCCCUAAGAAAGGUUUCAGCUGCCCUCAGCUCUGUCAGGGACUAGAAGUGAUUGUCCUGUUCUGGGUUAUUAUCACUUUGAUCACACCAAUUCCCCUUUUGGGCUUAAAAAACUCAGUCUCUUUCUGUCUCUCUCUCUCUCUUUUUCUCUCUCUCUCUUUUUGGAGGAUUUUUUUCGAAUCUGUAUAUCUUUCUAGUUUAACUAGAUACAGAUCUAGUCAUGGGUUUUUACCCCCAGGCUCUCCCUUUUGUCAUCUUUUAUCCUCCUC
rnacentral:lncRNA from 1 species